UGUUUGAUGUUCUAACGUGGACCCGUGAUCCGGGUUGCGGACAGUGUCUGGUGGGUAGUUUGACUGGGGCGGUCUCCUCCUAAAGAGUAACGGAGGAGCACGAAGGUUGGCUAAUCCUGGUCGGACAUCAGGAGGUUAGUGCAAUGGCAUAAGCCAGCUUGACUGCGAGCGUGACGGCGCGAGCAGGUGCGAAAGCAGGUCAUAGUGAUCCGGUGGUUCUGAAUGGAAGGGCCAUCGCUCAACGGAUAAAAGGUACUCCGGGGAUAACAGGCUGAUACCGCCCAAGAGUUCAUAUCGACGGCGGUGUUUGGCACCUCGAUGUCGGCUCAUCACAUCCUGGGGCUGAAGUAGGUCCCAAGGGUAUGGCUGUUCGCCAUUUAAAGUGGUACGCGAGCUGGGUUUAGAACGUCGUGAGACAGUUCGGUCCCUAUCUGCCGUGGGCGCUGGAGAACUGAGGGGGGCUGCUCCUAGUACGAGAGGACCGGAGUGGACGCAUCACUGGUGUUCGGGUUGUCAUGCCAAUGGCACUGCCCGGUAGCUAAAUGCGGAAGAGAUAAGUGCUGAAAGCAUCUAAGCACGAAACUUGCCCCGAGAUGAGUUCUCCCUGAGACUUUAAGUCUCCUGAAGGAACGUUGAAGACGACGACGUUGAUAGGCCGGGUGUGUAAGCGCAGCGAUGCGUUGAGCUAACCGGUACUAAUGAACCGUGAGGCUUAACCUUACAACGCCGAAG
rnacentral:rRNA from 3 species